UAUUACUAAUAAAUAUUCUUGAGAGGGGGAAGUAUUGGCUUUAUAAAUACUUGAAACACACUGGAUUCGUUGAGAGGAUUGAUUACUGCUAUAAUGGAUGAUGCAGAAGGUGGCAGUAAUGCAACAAUAAGGAU